GGUAACAUAUACUCAAAAAAACAAUUGGAAUGUUACAGAGAUGAUUAGUAUGGUCCCUGGGUAAGGAUAACAUGGAAAACAAAGCCUUCUAUUU
rnacentral:snRNA from 1 species